rnacentral:rRNA from 1 species
GUAGGUGGCAAGCGUUGUCCGGAAUUAAUUGGGCGUAAAGCGCGCGCAGGCGGUUCUUUAAGUCUGAUGUGAAAGCCCACCGGCUCAACCGUGGAGGGUCAUUGGAAACUGGAGAACUUGAGUACAGAAGAGGAAAGCGGAAUUCCACGUGUAGCGGUGAAAUGCGUAGAGAUGUGGAGGAACACCAGUGGCGAAGGCGGCUUUUCUGGUCUGUAACUGACGCUGAGGCGCGAAAGCGUGGGGAGCAAACAGGGAUUAGAUACCCUGGUAGUCCACGCCGUAAACGAUGAGUGCUAAGUGUUAGGGGGUUUCCGCCCCCUUAGUGCUGCAGCUAACGCAUUAAGCACUCCGCCUGGGGAUACGGCCGCAAGGCUG